GUGAGUAACGCGUGAGAACCUACCCCUAGGACGGGGACAACAGAGGGAAACUUCUGCUAAUCCCGGAUGAGCCGAGAGGCCAAAGAUUUAUCGCCUAGGGAUGAGCUCGCGUCUGAUUAGCUAGUUGGUAAGGUAAAGGCUUACCAAGGCAACGAUCAGUAGCUGGUCUGAGAGGAUGAUCAGCCACACUGGGACUGAGACACAGCCCAGACUCCUACGGGAGGCAGCAGUGGGGAAUUUUCCGCAAUGGGCGAAAGCCUGACGGAGCAAGACCGCGUGGGGGAGGAAAGCCUUUGGGUUGUAAACCCCUUUUCUCAGGGAAGAAGAAAGUGACGGUACCUGAGGAAUCAGCCUCGGCUAACUCCGUGCCAGCAGCCGCGGUAAUACGGAGGAGGCAAGCGUUAUCCGGAAUGAUUGGGCGUAAAGCGUCCGCACGUGGCUCGUCAAGUCUGCUGUUAAAUCCAGUAGCUUAACUACUGACAAGCAGUGGAAACUGGAGAGCUAGAGUGCGGUAGGGGCAGAGGGAAUUCCUGGUGUAGCGGUGAAAUGCGUAGAGAUCAGGAAGAACACCGGUGGCGAAAGCGCUCUGCUGGGCCGCAACUGACACUCAGGGACGAAAGCUAGGGGAGCGAAUGGGAUUAGAUACCCCAGUAGUCCUAGCUGUAAACGAUGGAGACUAGGUGUUGCCUGUAUCGACCCGGGCAGUGCCGUAGCUAACGCGUUAAGUCUCCCGCCUGGGGAGUACGCACGCAAGUGUGAAACUCAAAGGAAUUGACGGGGGCCCGCACAAGCGGUGGAGUAUGUGGUUUAAUUCGAUGCAACGCGAAGAACCUUACCAGGGGCUUGACAUGUCCGGAACUCUGGGGAAACCUAGAGGUGCCUUCGGGAGCCGGAACACAGGUGGUGCAUGGCUGUCGUCAGCUCGUGUCGUGAGAUGUUGGGUUAAGUCCCGCAACGAGCGCAACCCUCGUUCUUAGUUGCCAGCAUUAAGUUGGGCACUCUAGGGAGACUGCCGGUGACAAACCGGAGGAAGGUGGGGAUGACGUCAAGUCAUCAUGCCCCUUACGUCCUGGGCGACACACGUACUACAAUGGGGAGGACAAAGGGCAGCCAACUAGCGAUAGUGAGCUAAUCCCGAAAACCUUUCCUCAGUUCAGAUUGCAGGCUGCAACUCGCCUGCAUGAAGGAGGAAUCGCUAGUAAUCGCAGGUCAGCAUACUGCGGUGAAUCCGUUCCCGGGCCUUGUACACACCGCCCGUCACACCAUGGAAGUUAACCAUGCCCGAAGUCAUUA
rnacentral:rRNA from 1 species